UGUGUGCUCAGACCUGAAGCUUUCCAUGUUGUCACAGCUGAACAGGUUCUAUUAUCGCAACUUACAGUGAUUUGGACAACAUUUCAACAUUUCACAAGACACUUGGAAUUUGAAGAAUUAUUUUGCGUGACAGUGCCAGUGUAAGUGCGUUUCAAGAGAACAAGCGCGCCCCCUGCAGAUAUGGGUGUCAAAAUGCUGCAGUGUUUUCCCUUCUACAGACGCAGCAAAGAGAGGGGCAAAAAACAGUGUCCUCCUGAGACGGCAGUAGCCAGUGAAGAGGUGAAACCUCGGCUAUAUUCCACUACCUCUUGGGGCAGUGAAGGGGACGGCAGCAUUAGUCCGAGUUGCCCACAGGCCUAUUUUUCCCACAAGGCUCGGCUCUCACUUCGUCACCAGAUGGAUAGCAACAUUAAUGCAGUGGAUGCCACAUACUAACUUUGUCUCGCAGGCGGUCUCUGGAGAAUCCUUGAGAGUAAACUUUAGAUUUACAGCCCAAGUCCAGUUUAAGUCCAUUGUUGGAGAGUUUUUUGCCGGGAACUGGAGGAUGAGCCAUUGGGAGAAACAAGCAGCAUGGAAGUUUGCCUCUUCUUGCAUGCUUAUGGACACUCACUGAAAUCAGCUGUAAGCACUGUAGUAACAACAUCAAGAUAAGUGUCUGAAUUUCUUUAAUUGAACAAUACAGCAAUGAGUGUAAAAUGGUACAGCUGAGUGUAAUUUGGUGAAAGGGGAUAAUAUUUAACACUCUUAAGAGAACAAUAAGUUUACAUGAUAAACAAUAAUUGCUUUUUUUCUAGCCUAUAGCUAUAGCCUACAGCUAUACAUCCAUCUGCAGUAUCUGAACUGGAUACUGGCUUUAUCUGAGGAGACGUUGACAUCAUUAUGCAAUUGGUUUUUUUGAGCCAGAUAUAAAUUCGUUCAGUAGGAUACUUUGAUGAAUAGCAGUAUACCUAAUAAAAUUAACCGUGUUUUUCCCUACUGAUUAUAAAUUCAGUGUGUACUGUGAAGCACCUGAAUGUUUUUUUAUUGUACAUAAAUAGAAAAGUGGUUUCGAAAGCUUAUUUUGUUUUCAAUGUAUGUGCCAUUUUCUCUGCCCUGCAGCUGCAUCAAGGUCCAUUAACAUAGUGUGCACUGCUCUAACUUUAAUUAAUGUUUUUGUUACGUUUAGAUUUCAGGGCUUUUUGAAAUAUGCCCUGACCAUAAAAACAUUUUGCUUGAGAGAUGUUUUUGAAACAGUUCUGUUAAAGAUGGUUGUUUCAUCGACUUUAUGCAAGUUAAACAUUACCAACAAAUGCAUUAAUACGAAGACGGCCUGGUUUUUAAAUCUUUAUAAGGUUUUCUUAUUGCAUGUAUAAAACCUCUCAAGUGAA